CGGUGACCAUAGCGGAGGGGAAACACUGGUUUCCAUUCCGAACACACAGGUUAAGCCCUCCAGCGCCGAUGGUACUUGGGUGGAGACACCCUGGGAGAGUAGGUCGUUGCCG
rnacentral:rRNA from 1 species